rnacentral:lncRNA from 1 species
UGAAAAAAGAGCACACACAUAAGAAGCACUAUUCAUGGCACGCUUGCUUAGAAUAUAUGUUCACUUUUUGCCAACACAAUGUCACGUCCCCUUCGUGUAAGAAAGACACAAUCUUUAACAACCAUUGGUCCGACUGAUCUCUAGAAUCUUGAAACAUGUUGCUUAUGUGAGAUAGAGAAAACAUGAUCGUGCUAACUAUUUUCACCAUACAUUUGAGCAUAUUCACGUAAGUUGGUGACACCAAAAUUUUCUGAAUUUAGUCAUCAACCGUCAUGAUAUAUUGUAUCAGAAAUGAGAUCCCAAUAAGAAAAGGAGAGAUCAUGAAUAUACUUUACCUUUUGAUUCAACCUAUAGAAGACUUUUUGCAAAAGAAUCUAUGGUAUUUGAUGAAAUCACGAGAUAUAGAAACACAUAAUAAACAUCUAUUGUGGGAACAAAUCUUAAUAGAUUUUUCUUGCUGCUAGGUUUAAUUUACUCAUUGA